UGGAAGAAUUUGGUGGGAUGUCAAAACGCUGACGACAAGACAAUUAAUUUUCUUAAAUAUUUUUUCUUCAGUGUCCAAAGUAUAUCCUUGCAACUAGCGGAGGAAAGCGAAGAUAGGUGCUGACUUUGCUGCAUGAAAGGUGGCUCCAAGAUACAGGAAGCGUAUCUUAUCUUCCAAGAUUUCUCUGACAAGUAUCAGAUGACGAGUUUGAUCCUCAAUCGAAAGGCUGUUUGCUGCAUGCAUAUGGGAAAUUUUGACCAAGCUGAGUCACUAUUACUUGAAGCACUAAACAAGGACGCAAAGGAUCCUGAAACAUUGGCUAAUCUGGUUGUAUGUAGUCCGCACCUUGGGAAACCAUCUUCACGCUUCUUGAAGUAGUUGUAGACUAUCUUUUUGCCUCUUAUUUUAGGGGGAGGACCAUAUAUGUACACAACUUCAUUGCAUCCGAUGAAUCUGGGACACUGAUUGCUUCUGUAAUUGGAAUUUAAGUUUGUUAUUCGGUAAUUGAUUUCUAUUGUCUUACAUGGUAUGCGUCUCCAAUAGUUUGGUCAAAUGAAAUUGUCACAUCCAGAUCACAUGCUUGUCAAACGUGCAUCUUCUGCAGAAGAGAGUUUUGAUAGAGCUGUCCAAACAAUUGCUUGAAGAAUUUGGGAGUAUUUUUUAUCAAAUCCGUCCUUUUCAUAUUAAGCAUUGAUGGCUUUAUCUUGGUUCUGUAACCUACAAGAUCAAUAUCUGAAUCAAAUUAGAAAAGAAUCUUUGGUGAAAAUAUUUCUGGGUCUGAAUUUACGUAGUAGGGCUUUGUCUCUUUUUUAUCCUGAGCUGCCUAAUUGUCAGAUAGAGCACUGCUUCUUGGACCAAUUUCUAAAAAUUUCAUCUGAACUACGCUUGCACCUGUUUUUGGAGGAGUUGUAUCUGUUCUGAAUGCUUAUAAUUGAACUAUCUAUUGAUAUGGAAAUGGAGAAUAAAACAUAUGUUAUGGAGUGUCUA